CGAGCGGUCUUUAGCAAUAGAGAUAGUGGCGCACGGGUGCGUAACGCGUAACCAACCUACCCGAAUCUGGGGGAUAGCCCGCCGAAAGGCGGAUUAAUACCGCAUAAAACCACAGUGUGGCAUCACAUAAUGGUUAAAGAUUUAUUGGAUUCGGAUGGGGUUGCGUGCCAUUAGCUAGUUGGGGGGGUAACGGCCCACCAAGGCGACGAUGGCUAGGGGAGCUGAGAGGCUGGUCCCCCACACGGGCACUGAGAUACGGGCCCGACUCCUACGGGAGGCAGCAGUAGGGAAUAUUGGGCAAUGGCCGAGAGGCUGACCCAGCCAUGCCGCGUGCAGGAUGAAGGCUUUCUGAGUCGUAAACUGCUUUUGCCAGGGAAGAAUAAGGGGGAUGCGUCCUCCGACGACGGUACCUGGUGAAUAAGCACCGGCUAACUCCGUGCCAGCAGCCGCGGUAAUACGGAGGGUGCAAGCGUUGUCCGGAUUCAUUGGGUUUAAAGGGUGCGUAGGCGGCCGAUUAAGUCUGGGGGUGAAAGCCCGUUGCUCAACAACGGAACUGCCCUGGAAACUGGUUGGCUUGAGUACAGACGAGGGUGGCGGAAUGGAUGGUGUAGCGGUGAAAUGCAUAGAUACCAUCCAGAACCCCGAUUGCGAAGGCAGCUGCUAGACUGUAACUGACGCUGAGGCACGAAAGCGUGGGGGAGCGACAGGAUUAGAUACCUG
rnacentral:rRNA from 1 species